rnacentral:rRNA from 1 species
ACCCUUUGUGACAUACCUACAACUGUUGCUUCGGCGGGUAGGCCGUCCCCUGAAAAGGACGCCUCCCGGCCCGGACCGGACCCCCUGUGGGGCCGGACUCGGCGCCCGCCGGAGGAUAACCAAACGCUAUUUUAACGACGUUUCUUCUGAGUGGCAUAAGCAAAAUAAUCAAAACUUUUAACAACGGAUCUCUUGGUUCUGGCAUCGAUGAAGAACGCAGCGAAAUGCGAUAAGUAAUGUGAAUUGCAGAAUUCAGUGAAUCAUCGAAUCUUUGAACGCACAUUGCGCCCGCCAGCAUUCUGGCGGGCAUGCCUGUUCGAGCGUCAUUUCAACCCUCAAGCUCUGCUUGGUGUUGGGGCUCUACGGUCGACGUAGGCCCUCAAAGGUAGUGGCGGACCCUCCCGGAGCCUCCUUUGCGUAGUAACAUUUCGUCUCGCACUGGGAUCCGGAGGGACUCUUGCCGUAAAACCCCCCAAUUUUUCAAGGUUGACCUCGGAUCAGGUAGGAAUACCCGCUGAACUUAAGCAUAUCAAUAAGCGGAGGA